rnacentral:rRNA from 1 species
AUUGAACGCUGGCGGCAUGCCUUACACAUGCAAGUCGAACGGUAACAGGUCUUCGGAUGCUGACGAGUGGCGAACGGGUGAGUAAUACAUCGGAACGUGCCCGAUCGUGGGGGAUAACGAAGCGAAAGCUUCGCUAAUACCGCAUAAGAUCUACGGAUGAAAGCAGGGGACCGCAAGGCCUUGCGCGAACGGAGCGGCCGAUGGCAGAUUAGGUAGUUGGUGGAUAAAAGCUUACCAAGCCGACGAUCUGUAGCUGGUCUGAGAGGACGACCAGCCACACUGGGACUGAGAAACGGCCCAGACUCCUACGGGAGGCAGCAGUGGGGAAUUUUGGACAAUGGGCGAAAGCCUGAUCCAGCCAUGCCGCGUGCAGGAUGAAGGCCUUCGGGUUGUAAACUGCUUUUGUACGGAACGAAAAGACUCUGGUUAAUACCUGGGGUCCAUGACGGUACCGUAAGAAUAAGCACCGGCUAACUACGUGCCAGCCGCCGCGGUAAAAC